rnacentral:rRNA from 1 species
AUACGGAGGGGGCAAGCGUUGUUCGGAAUUACUGGGCGUAAAGCGCGCGUAGGCGGCGAUGCAAGUCAGAGGUGAAAUGCCCGGGCUCAACCUGGGAGGUGCCUUUGAUUACUGUUGUUGCUUGGAUCCAGGAGAGGUGAGCGGAAGUUCCGAGUGUAGAGGUGAAAAUUCGUAGAUAUUCGGAAGAACACCAGUUGGA